rnacentral:rRNA from 1 species
GAUGAACGCUAGCGGGAGGCUUAAUACAUGCAAGUCGAACGGUAACAGGCGUAGCAAUACGUGCUGACGAGUGGCGCACGGGUGAGGAACACGUACGCAAUCUGCCUCUGACUGGGGGAUAGCUCCGGGAAACUGGGAUUAAUACCCCGUAACAUUACGGAAGGGCAUCCUUCUGUGAUUAAACCUCCGGGGGUCAGAGAUGAGCGUGCGUCUGAUUAGGUAGUUGGUAGGGUAACGGCCUACCAAGCCAACGAUCAGUAGCUGGCGUGAGAGCGCGACCAGCCACACGGGAACUGAGACACGGUCCCGACUCCUACGGGAGGCAGCAGUAGGGAAUAUUGGACAAUGGCUGAAAAGCUGAUCCAGCCAUCCCGCGUGAAGGCAGAAGGUCCUAUGGAUUGUAAACUUCUUUUCUCUGGGAAGAAAAGGCGGGUUUCUACCUGCUCUGACGGUCCCAGAGGAAUAAGCACCGGCUAACUCCGUGCCAGCAGCCGCGGUAAUACGGGA